rnacentral:lncRNA from 1 species
GUUCCCAAAAGGAGGACACACACUACUCUACUAUCUUGCUACUUACUGUGAAGCAAGUCUCUAGUUUGACUCUGUCCUGUUUUUCAAGGCUGGGGAGAUUUUGUCAUUCAGCCAUACAAUUCAUACAAUUCAGCCAUACAUCUGUCAUACAAAUCAUGAGUUUGGGGUGUGUGUGUGUGUGUGUGUGUGUGUGUGUGUGUGUGUGUGUGUUUAAAGUAAAUCUCCUAUUUUAAAAAAAAUCAAUGACAAAAAAAAAAAAAGUUGAGAGGAGAAGGAGCGCUGGACAGGACGGACAGGAAUUGUCAGGGAUAACCCAUCACAGGUGUGCACCUGGAAGAGUGCCUUCACUUCCUGGCUCAUUAGUGCUGGGGUUUUAUUAGCUUCAUCUGCAAUUAGGAGCAGCCAUCUCUACUGCACAGCAAGAGUUCCCACAAGAAAUAACGACCACUCCUAGCCUCUUCUUGCAUGCCUCCUUCACUCAUUUCAACAAAUAUUUAAUAAGCACUGUUCUCCUUGCGAUGCCGCCUGUGGUUUCCAGGCAUCUCCAAAAUAUUUUUUCUUAAUCGCUGUGUGUGGUUCUCCCACCAGAAAUCUGUGUUAUUUUGACUUUUUAAUUGAAAAGAAUACAGAUGAAACUCUCUAGACUUACCUAGGGAAUAGACAACAAAUUGAUUAUGGCAAUUAAUUCAAAGUAUGGAUUGUGGUUACUUUAAGGAUACCCAAGGAGGUACAUGUUAGUUCAUUUCACAGGUGAGAAAAUUACGAACCAAACCCAAAAUAAGUGGUCCAAAUGGGGAGUCCCAGGCUCUGAGUUUGAUAUUAUCUUUCAAUUAUCCAGAACUAGAUGUGUUCUAGACUUCCCAGUAAGUACUGGAGACACAUGGCCCACACCUCUGACAGUUCAUAUAUGUGGAAGAGAAAGAUGAAAUGUGCUAUGAACCAUUCAAGGGUUCACAUGUGCAGAUGGUAGCCAGCAAGCAAAGCAGAAGAGUGCAAACUCAGACUUAAGUGCUCAGGAGGCAGCCCGAUGUGAAGUGAUCCCGUGAAAUUACUCAGAACCAAGCUGUGUGCAGUAUGAGACAGAAAAGAGAGUCCUACCAGUAGAGAUUCUUAAGUCAGACAAGAUUUUCUCUAUGGCCUGUUAAAACACAGACUGCUGAUUCUGUAGUGGGCCCUGAGAACUUGCAUUUCAAAUAAGUUCCCAAGUAUAUUGACACCACCGAUAUGCAAACCAAACCUUGAAAACCAAUGACUAUCCAAGGCAAACACUGGCUGUUUUAUGGCUUUCUAUGAAAAGAAAGUAUGAACUGCUGAGCAAAGUCACUGUCCUAAAGACAGCAAUGCUAAUUCCAGAUAGUUAGAUUACAUGGUUAAGGGAAAGAUGAACACAUCUUGUUUAGCUAGGGAAUUAAAAGUCAAUACGCUGCAUCAUUUUGUACUGCCGCACAGCAAAGUCAUUCAAAGGUUACUGUAAGCCUCUGGGUCUUGAUGUUCACAAUCCUCUCAUACAAAAUCAAACUUUAAAAUUAGAUGGCAUCCUGGACUGGGCUACUUCCUGCUGUGGAGAGAAAUAUUUGAUCUUGCAGACUGCUACAAAUUCCCACCUCCCAUUCAUUUAGCAUGAAUCUCUCACUGGUAUUUGAACAUGCCCCCUCAGAAAAGGCCAUAUAAGAGCAGGGGUGGAGAGACCACCAAGAUGUCUAAUUCUCUGCAAGAGAAGAAACUUCUCUGUUGCUCUUGACGACCCUUCUCUGGCCUGAUACAUGCCUCUGUACCAGUCGGAGGCUCUGAGAAGCUGCUGUGUGUCUGUGCCUUGAGAAAAAGAUCAUCCCCUUCCCCAUUUUUGCCAAUAUAUGUAUGGUGAUACUUAAUUAUUAGCCAACUUUAUACAGAGUAGUGAAAAUUCAUAUACCUUUGCAUAAGCUUCUUUAAACUAAAAAAAAUCAAUGUAAAAUUAAAUAUUGCUCUGUCUUCUUUUCAUCAACUAGUAUUAAAGGUGUUGUUUUUUCCCAAGGGUGAAGACGGUUAUGCUUGACACGUGACUACUGCUUCUCUUCCCUUUGCCUUGACAUAGCAAUGUGAAUAAAAGCUAGAUUUUUUUCCAAAAGACUUACUUAUUUAUGUUAAUGUUUGCCAAAGUGGCUUAGUAAUAAUAUUAAAAUAUAUCUCUUCAGUUUUUAAUGAAAAUUGAAAACAUGCCAGAUUUUAAAUUAGUGGUAACAGAGAAGCUGCUUUCUUGUUCUAAAUACAGAAAAUAAAUGGCAAAAGGAAAC